UUUGUCAAGGCGAUUGGUUAAAAAAAAAGUUCACUCGCCAUUUCUGUCGCUCGUAUUUGUCGUCUGGCUACAUCCUCAACGUUUACUCAAUCAACUGAAUGACUAGCAUUUUUAAAAUUUCCCUCCACAUCCCCCCCCCCCCCUCCAAAAAAAAGAGAACUGUAAAUGAACACACAAUGUAGUCUCCUUGCUUUAAGGGGAAGUUGUGUUUGUCCAAGAGCAACUUGAUACAGUAUUUAAGGCGGAGGAUGCGAGGCGCUAAUGGACAGUAUCGCUCGGAGCAGCGUGCUUUUGGGACGAUGGAUUUUGUGCAGCCCAGCAAAGCUAAGAGGAAGUUCCAAAUCAACUUGUUUAAAAAUCUGAUUGAAAUACACGGAGCGAUAUGGUUGAGACAGGCCUGGGUGGAAACCAGACCAGAAUCUACCGCCAUUGAAGAAUAAAAGUAGCUGACGAAAAA